AGUUUCCAUCCUCUGCAUCCUUCAGGUGCUUUGGAGAAUAGGUUGGCUCUCUCUUCUUUGUGGCAAGUAUUGGAACAUUUCAACUUCAGCUUCUAUCCUUCCAAAGGGCAGUCAAGGUUGAUUUCCUUCCUUUACUCCAGCAAGCACGUCCAAAAAUUCUAGCAGACUUGAUAAGAACUCAGAUUCUCUCUCUCUCUUUUUUUUCCCAUGCAGGGCAAAAAACAACAACAAUUAUGGGUUCCUGUCAAACUGGCAAGCUCAGCAGUAAAAAUCUGGCAAGGCAGCUGUUUUAAAGCUUCCAGGAAUUGGGUCCAAAUUUAAGGCUUCUGGUUUUAGACUCAGAGAGCAGGAGUCUCUCUU